GAUGAACGCUAGCUACAGGCUUAACACAUGCAAGUCGAGGGGUAACGAGAGGGAAGCUUGCUUUCCUUGUCGACGACCGGCGCACGGGUGAGUAACGCGUAUCCAACCUGCCCCCAACUAAGGAAUAACCUUGCGAAAGUAAGACUAAUACCUUAUAAUUUCCUCAGAUGACAUCUGACGAGGAAUAAAGAUUUAUCGGUUGUGGAUGGGGAUGCGUCUGAUUAGCUUGUUGGCGGGGUAACGGCCCACCAAGGCAACGAUCAGUAGGGGUUCUGAGAGGAAGGUCCCCCACAUUGGAACUGAGACACGGUCCAAACUCCUACGGGAGGCAGCAGUGAGGAAUAUUGGUCAAUGGGCGGAAGCCUGAACCAGCCAAGUAGCGUGCAAGAUGACGGCCCUAUGGGUUGUAAACUGCUUUUAUACAGGAAUAAAGUUAGCCACGUGUGGUUAUUUGUAGGUACUGUAUGAAUAAGGACCGGCUAAUUCCGUGCCAGCCGCCGCCGUAA
rnacentral:rRNA from 1 species